CAGGUCACAGGCCCACAGCACUAGAGGGAGCCUCCUGGUUCAGACUAUUCUCAUGGUGACCUCUCGGCCUCGCUAGCACUUGUCCUCCUCCACACCGGCCGCACCCUUCGCUCUGCUCCUUCACUACUCACAUCAGGCCUUUCCUCCAUCUAGAAGGGACAGGGAAGUUUCCAGGAGGCCCUCCCUCUUCUCUUCUUCCUCUGAACUUUCAUUUCUUCCACUAAUACUGGUGGAAGCCUGCUCCGGGGUAGGGCCUCAAAUGAAACGGAAAGUGGGCCCCACCUGCACAAAGCCUCAGCGGUUCCCAGGAAAGGGCAAUGACCUCUCCAUUCUUCCCUAUUUCAGAAUCUGCCACUCACUCCUACAAUGAGGCUCCGGGAAACCAUCAGAGAAGUCCUGGGCUCUUGCAACAUAUUCAACAAAACAGGAAUUUAGAGCUGGAAGGAACAUGGAAGAUUAUUUAGCUCCAUCCCUCCUCCUAUAUGUGGCUCAGGAGACUGAGGCCCAGAGAGGACAGGCGCUGGCAAGCCCUUCACACCCCCUUGGCUGCACCUUGGGCCUCCUAGGGAGCAGGACCCCAGAGGCCAGGACCUUUCCAGGUUCUCCAGCAAUGGCUGUGCGUGCGGCUGGGAGCCUCCAGGUCUGGGGGUGUGGCUUCCUCCCCCGCUUGCAGCCCAGCCUCCGUCUGGUCCGGAAUGAGAAGCAACAGCACAGGGCUGAGAUGGGCGGACAGUGGCUUUGGGAGCGCUGCGCGGAUCCUAAGGCCAAGAGAUGGCCAUCACCGGGUCACCAGGAGAAGGAAUACAAAGCUCACCCCAGCUACCCACCCACGGUGCUGAUGGGAGAAUCCAGAGAGGCUAUGAAAGACUCUAUCGCCCCCGUGUGGCAAAAUGGGAGAAAGACAGGGCUGAGCGGAGGUUUGGGAAAUCUUAGGCUCUUAGGUGGAGCGACUGCAGUGCCCCUCCUGGGUAAUAGGCUGAGGGCUCUCUCCAGUUACACAGUCCCUGCCCCUACUGGAUUCAUCAAAUCCCUUGGGAAUGCUGAGAGGGCAUUGUGAGGGAGUGAAUUGAAUUCCUUGUAAAUUUGUAAAUGGAAGGAAGCAGUGUGAAGUAAGAACAUAGAUUUAUGCACAAAAAUGUUCAUCAAGUCCACGUCAGUAGGGGCGCCUGGGUGCCUCGGUUGGUUGAGUGUCUGCCUUCCGUUCAAGUCAUGAUUUAGGGUCCUGGGAUCAAGUCCCCAGUUGGGCUCUUUGCUCAGCAGGGAGUCUGGUUCUCCCUCUGUGCUCUCUCUCUCUCUCAAAUAAAUAAAUAAAUCUUAAAAAAAAAAUCCAUGUCUGUAAAUGCAACACUUGGGUUGACAAUUGUUUAAGUGCCUGAUGGGUACAGGGGUUCGUUAUACUAUUCAAUUCAUUUUUGUGUGUUUGAAAUGCUGUGAAACAAAGGAAUUAAUAGGAAACAUAAAGGUCCAACAAUAAGAAUCUAAAUAAAUUAUGAUGCAGCUGUACAAAGGAAUAACAUCUAAAAACAUUAA